rnacentral:miRNA from 1 species
CUUGGGUGACUAAGGCAGGAUUGCUUGAGCCUGGGAGGUCGAGGCUACAGUGUCAUGAUCACAGCUCACUGCAGACUCAGCCUCCCAGGCUCAAGCAAUCCUCUUGCCUGAGUG